rnacentral:hammerhead_ribozyme from 1 species
AUCCAGCUGACGAGUCCCAAACGGGGCAAAACGCGCGUCGUCGAU